AGAAGUUGUCCAGGGCUCCCUGAGGGAGGCCAGCACAAGAGCUCUGCCAUAAAAGGACAUUGGACAGAAGUGAAGAGUCCAAUCAGAAACUCUUUUUGAGAGACUGAACGCAAAGCAUUCAGAGAGUCAGCAGGCUGGAGAGGCCAAGACACACACACGAAGAAGGCAGUGCCCUGUCAUCUCCUCAAAUGUUGCUCUUAUUCACUGAAGCAAGCUGACUCCCCAAUACCAUGUACAUACUGAACCCAGAAGAGGGGAGAAAAGAAGGAAGGAUUGUGCAUAGGAGUUCCUUUUGAAGAAGUGACAUGGAGGUUAGACACAUCACUUCUGCUCA
rnacentral:lncRNA from 10 species